AGAGUUUGAUCCUGGCUCAGGACAAACGCUAACGGUGCGCCUAAUACAUGCAAGUCGAACGAGCGAUGUAGAAGUGGCAACACUUUUACAAAGCAAGUGGCGAACGGGUGAGUAACGCGUAGGUAAUCUGCCUUGGAGAUUGGGACAACCAUUCGAAAGAAUGGCUAAUAUCAAAUACCUUAUAUUAAUCGCAUGAUUUUUAUAAUAAAGGGGGCUUUUAGCUCUCGCUUCAAGAUGAACCUGCGUCCUAUUAGCUUGUUGGUGAGGUAGAAGCUCACCAAGGCAACGAUAGGUAGCCGGCCUGAGAGGGUGAUCGGCCACACUGGGACUGAGAUACGGCCCAGACUCCUACGGGAGGCAGCAGUAGGGAAUCUUGCGCAAUGGGCGAAAGCCUGACGCAGCGACACCGUGUGAUGGAUGAAGGCCUUAGGGUUGUAAACUUCUGUCAAUUGGGGACGAAGGUAGUAGGGUUAAUACCCCGAAUACUGACGUACCCAAUAAGGAAGUCUCGGCUAACUCCGUGCCAGCAGCCGCGGUAAGACGGACGAGGCAAGCGUUGUCCGGAAUCAUUGGGCAUAAAGAGCGCGUAGGCUGUUUUUCAAGUCAUAUGUGAAAACCUCAGGCUUAACUUGAGGACUGCAUAUGAAACUGGAUAACUUGAGUGCAGUAGGGGAAAGUGGAAUUCCUGGUGUAGCGGUGAAAUGCGCAGAUAUCAGGAAGAACACCGGUAGCGAAGGCGGCUUUCUGGCUGCUACUGACGCUGAGGCGCGAAAGCUAGGGGAGCAAACAGGAUUAGAUACCCUGGUAGUCCUAGCUGUAAACGAUGGACACUAGGUGUGGGGAGUUAUCGACGCUUUCCGUGCCGGAGCUAACGCAUUAAGUGUCCCGCCUGGGGAGUACGGUCGCAAGACUAAAACUCAAAGGAAUUGACGGGGGCCCGCACAAGCGGCGGAGCAUGUGGCUUAAUUCGACACAACGCGAAGAACCUUACCAAGGCUUGACAUCAUAUUGACGAUUAUAGAAAUAUAAUUUCUCUUCGGAGCAAUAUGACAGGUGGUGCAUGGCUGUCGUCAGCUCGUGUCGUGAGAUGUUGGGUUAAGUCCCGCAACGAGCGCAACCCUUGUCCCAUGUUGCUAACAGUUCGGCUGAGCACUCUUGGGAUACUGCCAGCGUAAAGCUGGAGGAAGGUGGGGAUGGCGUCAAGUCAUCAUGCCCUUUAUGCCUUGGGCCGCUCACGUGCUACAAUGGACCGUACAAAGAGCAGCGAUACUGUGAAGUGGAGCAAAUCUGUCAAAGCGGUUCAAAGUCCGGAUUGAAGGCUGAAAUUCGCCUUCAUGAAGUAGGAGUCGCUAGUAAUCGUGGAUCAGAACGCCACGGUGAAUACGUUCCCGGGCCUUGUACACACCGCCCGUCACACCACGAAAGUUGGAUACACCCAAAGAUAGUAUACUAACCGGCAACGGAGGAAACUAUUUAAGGUGGAGCCAGUGAUUGGGGUGAAGUCGGAACAAGGUA
rnacentral:rRNA from 1 species